UACGUAGGGGCAAGCGUUGUCCGGAAUCAUUGGGCGUAAAGAGCGUGUAGGCGGUCCGGUCAGUCGGUUGUGAAAGUCAAGGGCUCAACCCUUGAAUGCCGGCCGAUAACUGCCGGCUAGAGUCCGGAAGAGGUGAGUGGAAUUCCUGGUGUAGCGGUGAAUGACGCAGAUAUCAGGAGGAACACCGAUGGCGAAGGCAGCUCACUGGGACGGUACUGACGCUGAGGUGACGAAAGCGUGGGGAGCAAACAGG
rnacentral:rRNA from 1 species